AAAUUUGAAAUCGGGCGCCCGCCCGAGUUGUACUUUGCAGAGGAUGCUUCGGGGCAGCGACCGGUCUAAGUUCCUUGGAACAGGACGUCAUAGAGGGUGAGAAUCCCGUCUGGGACCGGCCCGCGCCCCGCACGUAGCUCCUUCGACGAGUCGAGUUGUUUGGGAAUGCAGCUCUAAAUGGGAGGUAAAUUUCUUCUAAAGCUAAAUACCGGCCAGAGACCGAUAGCGCACAAGUAGAGUGAUCGAAAGAUGAAAAGCACUUUGGAAAGAGAGUUAAACAGCACGUGAAAUUGUUGAAAGGGAAGCGCCUGCGACCAGACUUCGCGGCGGGGUUCCGCCGGGCUUCUGCCCGGUCCACUCCCCGCCGCGAGGCCAUCAUCGUCGGGGCCCGCCGGAGAAGACCGCAGGAAUGUGGCUCGCCCUCGGGCGAGUGUUAGAGCCUGCGGUGAUGCGGCGCGGCCCGGGCGAGGUCCGCGCUUCGGCAAGGAUGAUGGCGUAAUGGUCGCCGGCGGCCCGUCUUGAAACACGGACCAAGGAGUCUAACAUCUAUGCGAGUGUUCGGGUGUCAAACCCCUACGCGGAAUGAAAGUGAACGGAGGUGGGACCCGCAAGGCGCACCAUCGACCGAUCCUGAUGUCCUCGGAUGGAUUUGAGUAAGAGCAUAGCUGUUGGGACCCGAAAGAUGGUGAACUAUGCCUGAAUAGGGUGAAGCCAGAGGAAACUCUGG
rnacentral:rRNA from 1 species